AGAGUUCGAUCCUAGCUCGGGAUGAACGCCGGCGGCAUGCUUAACACAUGCAAGUCGGACGGGAAGUGGUGUUUCCAAUGGCGGACGGGUGAGUAACGCGUAAGAACCUGCCCUUUGGGAGGGGAACAACAACUGAAAACGGUUGCUAAUACCCCCGUGUAGGUCGAGGAGCAAAGGAGGAAUCCGCCGAGGAGGGGCUUCGCGUCUGAUUAGCUAGUUGGUGAGGUAAUAGCUUACCAAGGCGAUGAUCGAGAGGUCGGUCCGAGAGGAUGAUCACCACACCGGGACUAAGACACGGCCCGCACUCCUACGGGAGGCAACAAGGGGAAUUUUUCCAAUGGGCUUAAAGCCCGACGGAGAAAUGCCGCGUGGAGGUAGAAGGCCCACGGGUCAUGAACUUCUUUUCUGGAGAAGAAACAAUGACGGUAUCGAGGAAUAAGCAUCAUCUAACUUUCGUGCCACCGCAGAAGACAGAGGAUGCAAGCGUUAUCCGAAUGAUUGGGCGAAGCACCUGUGGGUGGCUUUUCAAGUCCGUCGUCAAAUCCCGUGGCUCAACCACCGACAAAGGCGGUGGAAACUACCAAGCUGGAGUACGGUAGGUGCAGAGGGAAUUUCCGGUGGAGCGGUGAAAUGCAUAGAGAUCGGAAAGAACACCAACGGGCGAAACCACUCUCACCGGGUCGACACUAACACCGAGACGAAAGCUAAGGGAGCAAAUGGGAUUAGAUACCCCAAGAGUCCUAGUCGUAAACGAUGGAUACUAGGCGCCGUAUCGACCGAUCUGAUCUUUGUCAGAAGCUACGCGUUAAGUAUCCCUUUGGGGAGUACGUUCGCAAGAAUGAAACUCAAAGGAAUUGAUCGGGGCCCGCACAAGUGGUGGAGCAUGUGGUUUAAUUUGAUGCAAAGCGGUACCUUACCGAGCUUGACAUGUCGUGAAUCAUCUUGAAAGAGAGGGUGCCUUGAACGCGGACACAGUGGUGCAUGGUCGUCGUCACUCGAGCCGUAAGGUGUUGGGUUAAGUCCCGCAAUGAGCAAACACUCAUGUUUAGUUGCCACCAUUGAGUUUGGAACCCCCAACAGACUGCCGGUGAUAAGCGGAGGAAGGUGGGGAUGACGCAAGUCAUCAUGCCCCUUAUGCCCCGGGCGACACGUGCUACAAUGGUCGGGACAAAGGGUCGCGAUCCCGCGAGGGUGAGCUAACCCCAAAAACCCGCCCUCGCCUCGGAUUGCAGGCUGCAACUCGCCCAUGAAAAGCUGGAAUCGCUAAUAAUCGCCCGGUCACCAUACGACGGUGAAUUCGCUCCUGCCUUGUACACACCGCCACACACUAUGGGAGCCGGCCAUGCCCGGUUGUUACCUUAAUCGCAAGGAGGGGGUGUGUCAAGGCGGGGCUAGUGACUGGAGUGAAGUCGUAACAAGGUAGCCGUACCGGAAGGUGCGGUUG
rnacentral:rRNA from 1 species